rnacentral:rRNA from 1 species
GACGAACGCUGGCGGCGUGCUUAACACAUGCAAGUCGAGCGGAAAGGCCCUUCGGGGUACUCGAGCGGCGAACGGGUGAGUAACACGUGAGUAACCUGCCCUCAACUUCGGGAUAAGCCUGGGAAACUGGGUCUAAUACCGGAUAUGACUACUUCGGGCAUCCGAUGGUGGUGGAAAGUUUUUCGGUUGGGGAUGGGCUCGCGGCCUAUCAGCUUGUUGGUGGGGUGAUGGCCUACCAAGGCGACGACGGGUAGCCGGCCUGAGAGGGCGACCGGCCACACUGGGACUGAGACACGGCCCAGACUCCUACGGGAGGCAGCAGUGGGAAUCUUGCGCAAUGGGCGAAAGCCUGACGCAGCGACGCCGCGUGAGGGAUGACGGCC